GUUUUUGAAAUAAGAUUUGGUAAUAUUCUUAACUCUGAUGCUUUCAACUAUAUUUAUAAUAUUGAAUGACUUAUGGGUAAAAUGAAUUGAGACGAUAGGAUAACUAUACGUACAAGAUCAAUAUAAGUUCAGCUUUCUAUUUCUCGUCGUGCAAAAAUAGACACGUGGUCACUGUGCAUUGUGCGGUCGACCAGUCGAAACACGACCCGAAUUGGCGAUCUGAAAUGCGAUUGAUCUUGUACUUGUAAGACUAGCUUUUUACGGGCGUGGCUUUAUAUGANNNNNNNNNNNNNNNNNNNNCGACCCGAACUGGCGAUCUGAAAUGCGAUUGAUCUUGUACUUGUAAGACCAGGUUUUUACGGGCGUGGCUUUAAAAUGAAUUCACACGAUAGAAUGACUAUACGUACAAGAUCAAUAUCAGUUCAGCUUUCUAUUUCUCGUCGUGCAAAAAUAGACACGUGGUCACUGUGCAUUGCGCGGUCGAUCAGUCGAAACACGACCCGAAUUGGCGAUCUGAAAUGACCAAGUUUUUACGGGCGUGGCUUUAAAAUGAAUUCACACGAUAGGAUAACUAUACGUACAAGAUCAAUAUCAGUUCAGCUUUCUAUUUCUCGUCGUGCAAAAAUAGACACGUGGUCACUGUGCAUUGUGCGGUCGACCAGUCGAAACACGACCCGAAUUGGCGAUCUGAAAUGCGAUUGAUCUUGUACUUGUAAGACCAGCUUUUUACGGGCGUGGCUUUAUAUGACGUAAUUUGACCUUGGCCGUUCUCACAUUGACUUUGAGUAUACAUGUUUUUGAAAUAAGAUUUGGUAAUAUUCUUAACUCUGAUGCUUUCAACUAUAUUUAUAAUGUUGAAUGACUUAUGGGUAAAAUGAAUAUUCAGAAGAUAGGAUAACUAUACGUACAAGAUCAAUAUCAGUUCAGCUUUCUAUUUCUCGUCGUGCAAAAAUAGACACGUGGUCACUGUGCAUUGUGCGGUCGACCAGUCGAAACACGACCCGAACUGGCGAUCUGAAAUGCGAUUGAUCUUGUACGGGCGUGGCUUUAAAAUGAAUUCACACGAUAGGAUAAUUAUACGUACAAGAUCAAUAUCAGUUCAGCUUUCUAUUUCUCGUCGUGCAAAAAUAGACACGUGGUCACUGUGCAUUGCGCGGUCGACCAGUCGAAACACGACCCGAAUUGGCGAUCUGAAAUGACCAGGUUUUUACGGGCGUGGCUUUAAAAUGAAUUGAGACGAUAGGAUAAUUAUACGUACAAGAUCAAUAUCAGUUCAGCUUUCUAUUUCUCGUCGUGCAAAAAUAGACACGUGGUCACUGUGCAUUGCGCGGUCGACCAGUCGAAACACGACCCGAAUUGGCGAUCUGAAAUUGCCAGGUUUUUUCUUGCGUGGCUUUAAAAUGAAUUCAGACGAUAGGAUAAUUAUACGUACAAGAUCAAUAUCAGUUCAGCUUUCUAUUUCUCGUCGUGCAAAAAUAGACACGUGGUCACUGUGCAUUGCGCAGUCGACCAGUCGAAACACGACUCGAAUUGGCGAUCUGAAAUGACCAAGUUUUUACGGGCGUGGCUUUAAAAUGAAUUCACACGAUAGGAUAAUUAUACGUACAAGAUCAAUAUCAGUUCAGCUUUCUAUUUCUAGUCGUGCAAAAAUAGACAGGUGGUCACUGUGCAUUGCGCGGUCGACCAGUCGAAACACGACCCGAAUUGGCGAUCUGAAAUGACCAAGUUUUUACGGGCGUGGCUUUAAAAUGAAUUCACACGAUAGGAUAAUUAUACGUACAAGAUCAAUAUCAGUUCAGCUUUCUAUUUCUCGUCGUGCAAAAAUAGACACGUGGUCACUGUGCAUUGCGCGGUCGACCAGUCGAAACACGACCCGAACUGGCGAUCUGAAAUGCGGUUGAUCUUGUACUUGUAAGAGCAGGUUUUUACGGGCGUGGCUUUAAAAUGAAUUGAGACGAUAGGAUAAUUAUACGUACAAGAUCAAUAUAAGUUCAGCUUUCUAUUUCUCGUCGUGCAAAAAUAGACACGUGGUCACUGUGCAUUGCGCGGUCGACCAGUCGAAACACGACUCGAAUUGGCGAUCUGAAAUGACCAGGUUUUUACGGGCUUGGCUUUAAAAUGAAUUCACACGAUAGGAUAAUUAUACGUACAAGAUCAAUAUCAGUUCAGCUUUCUAUUUCUCGUCGUGC
rnacentral:lncRNA from 1 species